rnacentral:rRNA from 1 species
UACGUAGGGGGCAAGCGUUGUCCGGAUUUACUGGGCGUAAAAGGUUCGUAGGUGGCUCGUCCAGUCGAGCGUGAAAUCUCCCGGCUUAACUGGGAGAGGUCGUUCGAUACUAGCGGGCUCGAGGUCGGUAGAGGGAAGCGGAAUUCCGGGUGUAGUGGUGGAAUACGUAGAUAUCCGGAGGAACACCAGUGGCGAAGGCGGCUUCCUGGACCGAUUCUGACACUGAGGAACGAAAGCGUGGGGAGCGAUCCGG